rnacentral:lncRNA from 1 species
GGUGUGUGCAACGAUCGAACAGGAGAAAGGAAAAAGGGGGUGUGAACCCUAAACCUCAAGAAAUCAUCAAAUUGAAAAGGGAAUCAAGGGCUGAUUGUAUGCAUGAACCAAGGAUGAUGAUCCCUUAAGCAUUUCUAACAUCAAGAGCCAUGUCAACAUGGACACGAGCAUGGAAGGGCAAUGGGUCAACGGUAAAUACGGAAGCUAUGCAUGAACUCGGACGCACGAGGUAGCGUUAGUUAAUUGAGCAUGGUGAUAAUUGAAGUUUGAUAUGGUUUUGGUUGUAUGAAAUCGGUAAUUUUAGCUAAGUAGACCGAACGGGACAAUAUAAAGUUGUAAUGAUAUGACAGAUUGAUGUAAUGCUACGGUAUUGUAAUCGGGUAAUGGGUAGAAUUGCACAUAAGUGCGCCAACCGAGAAUGGGGACUUAGGUUAAUGGUCAAAAGACUUAGCUUUUGACCUUAAAUAAAAGAAUGGUUUAACAAAAUACGAACAGGUCGAAUAAAUGUGCAUAAACUUCAUAAUGCUAAUGAAAUGCGUAAAGAUUAAGGACCCGGGUAAGGGCGUUUAGCCCAUAAUGUAAGGACAAGUCUUACGGACAACUAGAAAUAAUUGUGAGCAAUUUGAUUGAGGAAUGUCUGAGAUACGCAAGUUUUAAUAAUAAAAAUAUGAAUGGGUUGAAUAGUCGAAACGAGUAUGUAGAGCCGAAGGCUUUAAGUUAAGAUUUUUCCUUGUUUGGAUGUUAUAUUACAAGCUCAUAUGUUAGAAAAUCGAUUUACCAACGCAUAGGAAAAAGAAUCAUGUUAAUCGGAUUCGUAGAUCAAAAGUUAUGCAAAUUGUAAGUCGAAAAUACCCUUGGAAUUCAUAGCUGGGAAUUUACAGCAGCAAAUUGGAAGUUUCUGUCGAAAUAGAGCUGUCGCGCCCCGCGAGCGCCAGUCAGCUGGCAAAUUUUGGUUUUCUUGUUUGAUUUUGCAUCCGUACUCGAUGUUUUAAUGAUUUUUGAUGUCCCUUAACUUAUAUUAAAGCCGGUUUGAAUCACGAGUGAUGUUAUGAGCCUCCGGAUAAUGAAAGUAUGUAUUUUUCUUCGUGUUAGAGAAGAAAGAUUAUAAGUAAUCGAGACUAGAAAUGAGUGGGCAUGCAGUAUGGUAAGUAUAAAACUUAUAUCAUGGAAGUUGCGAUUAUGAUAAGAAAUGCGAGAUUAAGUGAAUAAAAGUAGUAAGCGAGGGCUCGCGUCUAUGUGUGUGUAUGUGAAUGUGUGCGUAUGUAUGUAGGUGUAUAUGUUGUAUGUAUGUAGGAAUUAGGAACGUAUACGUUUGUGGAUGCGAGAUGUUAUAAGUAUAUGAAGGAAUGGUUUGGACUGGUUUCAUUAUGUUCUAGCAUUAAUGUUUGCUAAUCGUGUGUUUGAGAUUGGAAUGAAAUGCAGGUACAUGAACACCGGGUUCAUGAAGUAUCGAAGUCGAAUUCGGAACAAGAAAAUACGAAAGGAUAGUUGAAUGAAUUAAAGUUCCUACUGUUAAAUUUUAUUCAAUAUUGGACUAUAUGAGAAUCAUGUCGUAUGAUAUUGUUAAUGACUAAUGGUUAUGAUGUAUGCGAUGUCCACAGGUAUUGCACGGAUUACCGCUACUACUACCGAAGAUAAGCAAGCGUUGAUCGAGUCACGGAGCAAGGGUUGUACGGAAAUAUGUAUUGUCUUGAAGCGUUAAUUUAAUGUGGUUAUUGUAAAUCCCUUUUGUAAAUGUUUAUCAUUUGUAUUUGAGCCUUCAAGUAAGUAAUGUGUCUAAAUAAGAAAGAAAUUUUUUGGGCUCGUAUUUUUCCGCUGUGUCAUAUUUAAGUUCUUACAAGUUGGUCUUACAGGGAAUCGUUCAUUAUACGAACGGGUCAUGCCCGAAUUUUGUAAAUAAUAAUACUUAUUUUGGAGUAAGAAAUAUGGGCGUUACAAGUUGGUAUCAGAGCCCUGGUUUGAGGGAAAUCAAGUAGAAGGAGGUAAAUACUUGAACUCAAACCCGUGUGCUCUUGUGUCAAGGAACCCGUACAAUCCAAGACUCGAUCAAGGCCUAAGGUUAAAAGCGAAUGUAAGUAUGUAUUAAAUUAUGUAUUUGAAGGAAACUAAUAGUAUGUUAUGUGAAGGGUAAGCGGAAUUGCUUGGAAGGGAUGAUAUGUGAAUGUGGUUUAGGACCGAUACCAAGGCAUGUAAUAAGACAUAUUGACCCAGGUACGUAAAUUUAGCUUAUGGGUGCAUGUAAUGGUAAAAUCUAUCAAGUGAAUGAAAAUUUUGAAUGAAAAAAAAAAUAAUAAUAAUAAUGGAAUAGUAAUGAAGUUUUGAAAAUAUUACACGUGCUGAAACCUAAUUCUUCGGACAUAAGGUGGCGAUUACACGAAGACGCGGAACUAGUAUGUGGAUUGCGUGCCUGGCCAGUACACAAGAAACAUAUGACGUUCGUGAGACCGUGAUAAUUGUUACAGGUAUGUCCGUUAGAAUUAGGUAGUAGGUGGACGUGAGGGUGAAGGGAGAUGUAAGACAUUCAAGAAAUUGAAAGUACCU